rnacentral:piRNA from 1 species
UAACUGAUGUACAUAUAAUGUACCAGUU